rnacentral:rRNA from 1 species
UAGUGACCUGCGGAGGAUCAUUACCGAGUGAGGGCCCUCUGGGUCCAACCUCCCACCCGUGUCUAUCGUACCUUGUUGCUUCGGCGGGCCCGCCGUUUCGACGGCCGCCGGGGAGGCCUUGCGCCCCCGGGCCCGCGCCCGCCGAAGACCCCAACAUGAACGCUGUUCUGAAAGUAUGCAGUCUGAGUUGAUUAUCGUAAUCAGUUAAAACUUUCAACAACGGAUCUCUUGGUUCCGGCAUCGAUGAAGAACGCAGCGAAAUGCGAUAAGUAAUGUGAAUUGCAGAAUUCAGUGAAUCAUCGAGUCUUUGAACGCACAUUGCGCCCCCUGGUAUUCCGGGGGGCAUGCCUGUCCGAGCGUCAUUGCUGCCCUCAAGCACGGCUUGUGUGUUGGGCCCCCGUCCCCCUCUCCCGGGGGACGGGCCCGAAAGGCAGCGGCGGCACCGCGUCCGGUCCUCGAGCGUAUGGGGCUUUGUCACCUGCUCUGUAGGCCCGGCCGGCGCCAGCCGACACCCAACUUUAUUUUUCUAAGGUUGACCUCGGAUCAGGUAGGGAUACCCGCUGAACUUAAGCAUAUCAAUAAGCGGAGGAAAAGAAACCAACAGGGAUUGCCUCAGUAACGGCGAGUGAAGCGGCAAGAGCUCAAAUUUGAAAGCUGGCCCCUUCGGGGUCCGCGUUGUAAUUUGCAGAGGAUGCUUCGGGUGCAGCCCCCGUCUAAGUGCCCUGGAACGGGCCGUCAUAGAGGGUGAGAAUCCCGUCUGGGACGGGGUGUCUGCGUCCGUGUGAAGCUCCUUCGACGAGUCGAGUUGUUUGGGAAUGCAGCUCUAAAUGGGUGGUAAAUUUCAUCUAAAGCUAAAUACUGGCCGGAGACCGAUAGCGCACAAGUAGAGUGAUCGAAAGAUGAAAAGCACUUUGAAAAGAGAGUUAAACAGCACGUGAAAUUGUUGAAAGGGAAGCGUUUGCGACCAGACUCGCCCGCGGGGUUCAGCCGGCAUUCGUGCCGGUGUACUUCCCCGUGGGCGGGCCAGCGUCGGUUUGGGCGGCCGGUCAAAGGCCCUCGGAAUGUAUCACCUCUCGGGGUGUCUUAUAGCCGAGGGUGCAAUGCGGCCUGC